GACGAACGCUGGCGGCGUGCUUAACACAUGCAAGUCGAACGGAAAGGCCCUGCUUUUGUGGGGUGCUCGAGUGGCGAACGGGUGAGUAACACGUGAGUAACCUGCCCUUGACUUUGGGAUAACUUCAGGAAACUGGGGCUAAUACCGGAUAGGAGCUCCUGCUGCAUGGUGGGGGUUGGAAAGUUUCGGCGGUUGGGGAUGGACUCGCGGCUUAUCAGCUUGUUGGUGGGGUAGUGGCUUACCAAGGCCUUGACGGGUAGCCGGCCUGAGAGGGUGACCGGCCACAUUGGGACUGAGAUACGGCCCAGACUCCUACGGGAGGCAGCAGUGGGGAAUAUUGCACAAUGGGCGGAAGCCUGAUGCAGCAACGCCGCGUGCGGGAUGACGGCCUUCGGGUUGUGAACCGCUUUCGCCUGUGACGAAGCGUGAGUGACGGUAAUGGGUAAAGAAGCACCGGCUAACUACGU
rnacentral:rRNA from 1 species